GAAAGGACGGGUAAUACCGGAUACCCCGGGGUGCCGCAUGGCACCCCGGCUAAAGCCCCGACGGGAGGGGAUGGCUCCGCGGCCCAUCAGGUAGACGGCGGGGUGACGGCCCACCGUGCCGACAACGGGUAGCCGGGUUGAGAGACCGACCGGCCAGAUUGGGACUGAGACACGGCCCAGACUCCUACGGGAGGCAGCAGUGGGGAAUCUUGCGCAAUGGGGGGAACCCUGACGCAGCGACGCCGCGUGCGGGACGGAGGCCUUCGGGUCGUAAACCGCUUUCAGCAGGGAAGAGUCAAGACUGUACCUGCAGAAGAAGCCCCGGCUAACUACGUGCCAGCAGCCGCGGUAAUACGUAGGGGGCGAGCGUUAUCCGGAUUCAUUGAGCGUAAAGCGCGCGUAGGCGGCCCGGCAGGCCGGGGGUCGAAGCGGGGGGCUCAACCCCCCGAAGCCCCCGGAACCUCCGCGGCUUGGGUCCGGUAGGGGAGGGUGGAACACCCGGUGUAGCGGUGGAAUGCGCAGAUAUCGGGUGGAACACCGGUGGCGAAGGCGGCCCUCUGGGCCGAGACCGACGCUGAGGCGCGAAAGCUGGGGGAGCGAACAGGAUUAGAUACCCUGGUAGUCCCAGCCGUAAACGAUGGACGCUAGGUGUGGGGGGACGAUCCCCCCGUGCC
rnacentral:rRNA from 1 species